GUAUUGUAUGAAAGGAGAGAAGAUUAGCUCUCCCCUCGACAAAGAUGGAAAGGUCCUAGGGCCUGACAACAUGCAUAUGGUUAUGGUUAAGGUAUUGCCACCUACUUCAUGGCAUCUAACCAUGGUUUUUA